rnacentral:rRNA from 1 species
AUGGACUUCGUCGAGGGAUUACCCAAAUCUGAAGGGUACGAUUCCAUCAUGGUCAUCAUCGAUCGCCUGACCAAGUUCGCGCACUUUGUGCCGCUCCGGCACCCCUUCACCGCGGUCCACGUCACCCGCGCGUUCUGGGACAACGUCAUCAAGAUGCACGGCGUACCUCUCUCCAUCGUCUCUGAUCGGGACAAGAUCUUCACUAGCGCCAUGUGGCGCGAACUGCUCGCCACGGCAGGCACCAAGCUGUUGUACUCCACCGCCUAUCACCCGCAGACUGACGGGCAGACGGAGCGCGUCAACCAGUGCCUGGAGAUGUAUCUCCGGUGCGCCGUCCACGACACCCCACAUCGAUGGCGCAAGUGA